CUUUUUAGGGCCACAUCCAUGGCAUAUGGAGGUUUCCAGGCUAGAGGUUGAAAUUGGAGCUGCAGCUGCCGGCCUACGUCACGGCAAUGCCAGAUCCUAGCCACAUCUGUGACCUACACCACCGCUCAUCACAAUGCUGGAUCCUUAACCCACUGAGCAAGGCCAGGGAUCAAACCUGUGUCCUCAUGGAUGCUAGCCAGAUUCGUUUCCCCUGAGCCACGAUGGGAACUCCAGACCUUAACAGUUUAAGAGCAAUAUAUCCUAUUACUUUACCACGAAUGAGCCCUGAGAGACAGGCAAAGAGGGAAGAGCUGCUGGGCCCAGUACAGAGAAAAGGGGUAGAUACUCCAUACUUCACCCCUCCCCCAACAGCUCCCAAAUGGUGAGGCCUCUCAGAUCAUCUAAAAAUGAUAAUCCAUUUAACUAUCCAUUUUCAGCAUCUAUGAUAAUAACCUCUACAAACAUCAUUCAGCGAGACCUCAUGUUUCAAGUGCAAUUCUAAGUAACUCUGGUACAUCUGCUCCUCUUCUAACAAUCCCACUAAGCCAAUGGCUUUAUUCCUAUUUUACAGAUGAAGAAACUGAGACUUAGGGAAGUUCAGUAACUGAAAUGGGAACAGCACUUAGAUGGUGUGACUCCAACACCUGAAUCUCAGCAGUAUUUCUGCCUUCAGGGCUAAACUCACCCACAGCUCUCAGAAUUCUAAUGAGCUGAAGGCACUCUUUUAAAUUCCUACUGAGGCAGAGUCUUUCAUGCAGAAUUGAUUUUUAUAAACCCUCAUUCACGCAUGCACAGAACCAGUGCUGAGAUCACCUGGCGUACUACUCGAUUUCUCAUUAACAAACAACUCCAUACAUCAGAAACCCUAUUUUAUGAGUCCCAAAGCGGGGGGAGGGAAACACAUGUCAUCUAUGAGGAAACUCAGGCCUUCCUGGGACGGCCUGUAUCUUGCCCAACCAGGUUUCUUAAUUACCUCCGAGUGGAACACGAAUCCCUCCAGCCCUCAAUUCCCCGCUGUCCCAGGCACUCUGAAGCCUUUCUCCCACCUCCCACCCUUUCUCCCAAUAGAGAGCUCCCCACGCUUACAUAGUUCUAGUUUGCUAACUUCCAAUGCUGUGCACUUCAGAAAUAGGGACGCUGUCUGGAGAGUGGCAACAGAAAAAUAUUCAUCAAGCUGGGCUUCCUUAUUCUUACCUGUCAAAAGAGGGGGAAAUGGAGGCAGGCAGGGAGAAAAGUCAGCUCAAAGUAUCUGCUGAACUUUGGAGAGUUUACAAGGGGUGAGGGGAUGUUCGCAGAGCUCGAGACCUGGGGUGGGGGUGGGGGUGGGGAGGAGAUUGGAAAGGUUAGCCUGUUGACCUGCUAGAGGGAAGCAGAAGUUCUAGAAGGUAAAGGAAGGAGUGAGUUGUGUUCCAACAGAAAACUGUGCAAAAACAGCACAGAGCAGUCUUGUAUACCCUCUGAAAAACGACUCCGACACAAUUUCACAAAUGAAAGGGUGUGUUGGUACCGUGGGUGUUUUCAGCUGUGAUGGGCACAGCUGAUCCUGGUAAAGUGCGCAGAGGCCUGCCUUGGCCUUUAGGGGAAAAAAAACUUCUAAAAGCUGAGUUAUGGUUUUGGAUUCCAAACCAAUUCUGUGUUAAUAGAGAAGCUGAAAAUCUAUCUACCAACAAACGUAAAACGUUAUUAGUAAUAUUAAUAAUGUCUUCCUUCCUCUGUGCAGUUUCAUUAGAAGACACCCUCAGGCCCAUCCAAACCUACAAGAAAUGCUCCAUACAGCUGCUCCACUGUGGGUGCAAGUAUGUAACUUCGGGUUUCACAACCCUUAAAGGACACAAUCUCAUUUGUUUGCUCACGUUGCUCUCUUGCUAAAAUUUACCCUGAUUAGAAAACAAUAAGCAAUAACAUUAUUAUUAUAUAUUAAAUUAUUACUGUUAUAAUAAAUGACGUCAUUAUUUAUAGUUUUAAAUUUGUCAAAUGUGUUUGCCCUGGAGAUUUGUAGUCUUAGGUUUUUCUUCUUACCAACUAGGAAAAGCGGGGUUAAAACUCAAGUCCAAAAAAGGUCCACUUUCAUAGAGUGCCUGGCCUGUGAGUGUUUAGGACAAUGCCGCAAAAGCAAUUUUUAUUUUUAGAUCUGUAAGUAAAAAUGGCUAUUAUGAAUGAGAGCUUGGAGAAUGGAGAAACAGUCAAAAUUCCAUUAAAAAAGGAAAACCAGCCAAUUGCUCUGAGGCCGACAGACAAUGAGGCACCAAAGGCCAUUGGUCCCCGGGCUGCUUUUCCCUCAGCAGGUGCCACCCUGUCUCCACUUCUCUCUUACCAUGUCUCCUCCUUGAAUCCUGUCUCACUCUCCCCCCCUGUUUCUCCUUCUCUCUGGAUCCAUGACACUCUUUUCCUUCUUCUUUAAUUCUCCUUUGUCACUCUCGACUCCUUUCCUUUGCCCGGUUCCCUCUAAGUGGCUUAAAUAAAACUGAGAGCUUUGGGGUUCUUUAACAACAAUGGUUGUGUUCAUUAGAAACGCAUUAUAAUCUCUAUAUUAUGUUAAAGACAAAUUAAAUAGCCUAUAUUUCCCUAAGAACAAAAAGAGAGAGAGAGAGAGAGAGAAUGAGAGGGAGAGAAAACUGAAUUUACCAGUAUGUAGCCUUAAAUUUCUUUGGGGGUCAUCAAAA
ensembl:lncRNA